GAUGAACGCUGGCGGCGUGCCUAAUACAUGCAAGUCGAGCGAACAGAUAAGGAGCUUGCUCCUUUGACGUUAGCGGCGGACGGGUGAGUAACACGUGGGUAACCUACCUAUAAGACUGGAAUAAUUCCGGGAAACCGGGGCUAAUGCCGGAUAACAUUUAGAACCGCAUGGUUCUAAAGUGAAAGAUGGUUUUGCUAUCACUUAUAGAUGGACCCGCGCCGUAUUAGCUAGUUGGUAAGGUAACGGCUUACCAAGGCAACGAUACGUAGCCGACCUGAGAGGGUGAUCGGCCACACUGGAACUGAGACACGGUCCAGACUCCUACGGGAGGCAGCAGUAGGGAAUCUUCCGCAAUGGGCGAAAGCCUGACGGAGCAACGCCGCGUGAGUGAUGAAGGUCUUCGGAUCGUAAAACUCUGUUAUUAGGGAAGAACAAAUGUGUAAGUAACUGUGCACGUCUUGACGGUACCUAAUCAGAAAGCCACGGCUAACUACGUG
rnacentral:rRNA from 1 species